GUUUCUUACCUCCUCCAUGUAAUGCUCCCCUAUCACAACGACCAUCUGAUGUAAAUUCCACUCCCCCGCGUUUCAUUCUAGUUGUCCUCGCUUUUCCCACCAUUUCCAUAAUUUUCCCACUUUCACACCACAUCACCCUUUAUCUCCCAUUUCUUUUCAUCUUCCAGUUCCUACAAGUUGUCAUGCCGCAUUUACUAUCAACCCCUUCCAUAUCCAUGCACGUUCUGUUAGGAACUAUGUUUCUUAAUCCAUAUCCCUUCGGGCAGCUAUCCUUGAUCCUUGCCAAACACAAUUCUGAGCGGCAGUAAAUACCACAGGCUCAGAAGAGAUGAAAAAGCAAACCCAACACAGAAAGCUGUAACCUGCUUGCACAUAGCAAUGACUGGUGACAUCAUUUCUCUGUGAAUGUGCAGCAGCUGGACAGGACAGGAGAGAGAAAGGGGGGAUUUUGAGUCGAAUAACAGCUGAUUCCAACUGAAGAUUACACAAAAUGGCCGCGCACGUAGGGGAAAAGGUGUUGGAAGAAGUGUG